GUGAAAUUGUUGAAAGGGAAACGGUUGAAGUCAGUCAUGCAGGCGGGAAUCAACUUAGGGGAAACUCUGAGUGCACUUCUUCGCUUGGCAGGUUAGCGUCGAUUUUGGAUAUCAUAAAAUGACUGGGGGCAGGUAGCUCCUUUGGGAGUGUUAAGCCCUUGGUAGAUGUGAUGUCUGGGGUCGAGGAUUGCAACGGAUACCUUUUGGGCUAGCCGCGUAGUCUCUAAUAUGAAGUUGGGUUACGGACAGCAUGCUGACUGUGAUCUGAUUUUCGGGUAAAAGAUUAGAGCGAGUGUAAAUUCGUUAAGGACGCUGACGUAAUGGCUUUAAACGAC
rnacentral:rRNA from 1 species